rnacentral:rRNA from 1 species
GACGGAGGAGGCAAGCGUUAUCCGGAAUGAUUGGGCGUAAAGAGUCCGUAGGUGGAACUUCAAGUCUAUUGUUAAAGAGCAAAGCUUAACUUUGUAAAGGCAGUGGAAACUGAAGAACUAGAGAGGGGCAGGGGCAAAGGGAAUUCCUGGUGUAGCGGUGAAAUGCGUAGAGAUCAGGAAGAACACCGGUGGCGAAAGCGCUUUGCUGGGCCCAUUCUGACACUGAGGGACGAAAGCUAGGGGAGCGAAUGGGAUUAGAUACCCCAGUAGUCC